rnacentral:rRNA from 1 species
AUUGAACGCUGGCGGCAGGCCUAACACAUGCAAGUCGAGCGGAUGAAGGGAGCUUGCUCCUGGAUUCAGCGGCGGACGGGUGAGUAAUGCAUAGGUAUCUGCCUGGUAGUGGGGGAUAACGUCCGGAAACGGGCGCUAAUACCGCAUACGUCCUGAGGGAGAAAGUGGGGGAUCUUCGGACCUCACGCUAUCAGAUGAGCCUAGGUCGGAUUAGCUAGUUGGUGGGGUAAAGGCCUACCAAGGCGACGAUCCGUAACUGGUCUGAGAGGAUGAUCAGUCACACUGGAACUGAGACACGGUCCAGACUCCUACGGGAGGCAGCAGUGGGGAAUAUUGGACAAUGGGCGAAAGCCUGAUCCAGCCAUGCCGCGUGUGUGAAGAAGGUCUUCGGAUUGUAAAGCACUUUAAGUUGGGAAGAAGGGCAGUAAGUUAAUACCUUGCUGUUUUGACGUUACCAACAGAAUAAGCACCGGCUAACUUCGUG